UACAUGUGUUAUUAGUACUAUUAACAUUAUGAUUGUUGUUGCUAUUCUACAGCCACAAGAAAGGGUGUAUAAAAGUAAAAAAGCUAUUUAGCUAAGUUCAGUAAAGCAUCACGGUUGUACCAUCAUCAUCAUUGAGCUGGUGGUGGUGGUGGUGGGCGUGUACGAGCACUUCGCUGCUAGCUAACGUUGCACUGAUCAAUAACGUUAGUGACUACAGUAAGCAACAUCUUCUCCUCUGGCUUCUUCUUGUUAGCACAGACUCUUGCUGAGGUUAACGCGAAUUCAACCCGUUUUGCGAGUCCUCAACGUCACAGAGACUAGCAUCAUGAGCUAGCUAGUUCAUCUUGAAGUUACCAACAGCGGAGACAGACACGAGAGAGAGAGACAGCGACUUUACCGUACCACGGUGAUUCAGCGUGCUGCUGCUAGCUAGAGAGAACAAUCCCCCCAAAGCCUCAACACCCACAACGUUCAACAUUCAUUGAUGUUAACCUCCAUCAUUUGAUGUCUAUCGUUCUCGGAUCUCGCCAGUGUUCUAUAUUCAUUGCUGGGUUUCCAUCCACCAACAUGUAUGGGAUGUCGGGAUGACAGGAAGAUGGCAAACGGGGUUGGAAAACACAAGCUACUUGUCAUUGGACCAACAGAGCCAUGGUCAGUGAGGGAGAAGCUGUGUUUGGCCACAUCUGUCAUGAAGAGUGGAGACCAGAACUGGGUAUCUGUCAGUCGAGCCAUCAAACCAUUUGCAGAACCCGGGAGACCACCUGACUGGUUCUCUCAAAAGCACUGUGCCUCCAAGUACUCUGAGCUCCUGGAAACAACAGAGGCCCCGAAGCGGAAGCGUGGUGAGAGAGGAGAGGUGGUGGAGACGGUGGAGGACGUGAUAGUACGCAGGCUGACAGCUGACAGGAUCGAUGCACUAAAGAAGUUGAUCAAAGAAACACAGGAGAAGCACAGGAAGCUGAAGAGAGAGGCUGAACUGAUUCAAGCAGGACGUCUAGAUUCCAAACUACAAGAAUUAUGGGAAGACAUUCUGCAGAAGAAGAAACUGGAGGAGGAGGAAGAAGAGUCGAAAAGAAAAAACACAAAUGCUGCUUAUCAGGCCAGACAGGUGGCAAAGAAUGCACCAAAGCGAGUUCCUGGCAUUACCAUGCAUUCGCCCUCAGGCUGUAGCUCCCCGAGCCAGGAGUUCUCACCAGGGGACCCACUCGAGUGCUUGACACUGGAUCUCACAUCGACAAAGAAUGCUUCAGGAUCAGCCAGAUUAAUGACAAUUGCGGAGUCCUCUGGACCCGAUAAUGAUGACAUAAGCCACGGGUCACUCCUGGACGACCCCAACCAAAAGAAGCUCCUGAGCCAGAAAGCUACGCCGCCACCAUCUCCGCUCCUGUCAGAGUUACUGAAGAAAGGCAAUAUCUUGGCCACAAAUUCCAGACUGAUUGGGGAGGGUGACGGGACCACUGGUAAUAUGACAGGAGCACAUGACUUGCAGCUGGCUCCGCCUAGCCAACCUCUCUCUCAGGCAACAGGUGCCCCGAUGUUGUCUCGUCUUCUGGAGGCGGGUCCCUCCCAGUUCUCUGCCCCGUUAGGUUUCAUGGUCAGUGCAGACUCGGCCUCCAGCGCUCCUCUCUCUGCUGCCACUCCUGUGCCUGUUGACUCUACUGCGUCAGCAAGUACAGAGGUGGAUGUGAUGGUGCCGUCCGGAUGCCAGCCUGUUUCUGCAGAGGAUAAGGUGUCAGAGCUCAGUGAGGAGGACGUGACUGUGUCCUACAUGGGGGAUGAGCUGGACCUGAAGACGGUGGGAGACAUUAUCGCCAUUAUUGAGGACAAGGCAGAUGAGACUGCAGAGGCAUUGGAUGCAGCUGCAGUUGAGGCUGCGCUGUCACUGUGUGAGGAGAACGGCCAUGCUCUGUCCGGUGCCUGGGAGGCUGGGCCUUUCCAGCCCCAUGAGCCUCACCCCACUGUGCCCACGGGGGUCCCACAGUCCUCGUCUCUCCACAGUAGCCUGGAGGGGAAGACAGAAGCGUCAGAAGUUCAGGGUGGGACUUCAGCUUCACUCUCCUCUCUGUGCAACAGUCAGGAUAACGGUCUCACAGCAUUCCCCAUGAGACCGAGGGGCAUUCCUCCCACCUCCUCAUCCUCACGCUCCUCAAAGAGUUUGGAGCACUGCCACACCAGAGCACCUCCACAGCCUGAGGCGAUGAGGGAGACUGGACGGUCUGCGUACCAGAAAAGCCAAAUUCCAUUGGUUGUCACUAUAAAAUGUGAGCGUGAGAAGUGGGCACAGCAAAGACGUGAAGGACCCCAUGGAGACUCAGUAUUAGAAGAUAGCCCACUGACAGAAAGGCAUCCCAAGGAGAUGAAAGCGGAGGAUGGGAUAAGUGUCGGGGGAGGAGAGGAUGCCUCAGGGACUAAAGUGUACAAUGAGCUCAACGGACCAGAAGUGUGCGGAGAAGAAGAGGCCGACGGGGCGGAGGGAUUCUCGUCAGAGCCAGACGGCGAGAUGGAGCUAGAGCCCGCGGCCAGCGAGAGCGAGGAUGGGUACAGCCUCCGCACGGCCUCCUCGUCUCUGCAGCUUAACACGACCGCAGACUCCAUCCCCAGCAGCCCCGCCUCAUCGCAGUUUUCUUUGUGCAGUGAGGACCUGGAAGCUCUACAGGCUCACAAGAUCUGGAAGAAAGCCAUUAUGCUGGUGUGGCGUGCAGCGGCCAAUCACAGGUAUGCAAACGUCUUCCUUCAGCCAGUAACAGAUGAAAUUGCACCUGGGUACCACAGUAUUGUGCAGAGGCCCAUGGACCUCGCUGCCAUAAAAAAGAACAUCGAGACCGGUUCGACGCGGACCACCGCCGAGUUCCAGAGGGACAUCAUGCUGAUGUUUCAGAACGCGGUCAUGUACAACAGCCUGGAUCACGACGUGUACCACAUGGCCCUGGAGAUGCAGCGCGACGUCCUGGAGCAGAUCCAGCAGUUUCUGGCCACCCAGCUCAUCAUGGAAACAUCUGAGGGUGGCAUCAGCACCAAAAGCCUGAGGGGCCGUGACAACACACGCAAACAGGACUCUACUGACAAGGUGCUUCACUAGAAUUUUGACAAAAGCAGAGAGUACAGAAGAAGAGACAAGGGACACUGUCUCCAUGUCCUCUCCUGCCUUCCUUCUUUCUCUGUUUGAUGGAGGCACCAGAGGGCGCCGUUGUGCCAUAGAAGCUGACCUCAAGAUGAAGAAAUGAACAUACAGUGUGAAGAUUUUGUCCAACAGUCCCCGAGUUGAAGUGAAAGGUUUGAAAGACUGAAUUUAUUCUGUCAGUUGCACAGAUUCUCACUCUGCAUAAAAUGCAGUGUAACCUUUAUUUGCACUCUAGAUGAAAUGGAUAGACUGAAAUAUAAAGAAGCUCAUAUCCUCUGAGACAGCCAUAAAGACAUGGAUUACAAACUGUAUAAUCCCAGAUUACAAUGAGGCAGAAAGAAUAGGUCAUAGACAUAGCUGCAGAUCACUUAGACUUAGCCUGCUCUGAAUUACAUCAGGUUGUACAAAUGAAGAUAAAAGUUACUCCUAGCCUACAAAUUGGCUGCAAUGAAGCCCUCAUGAAGCCUGGUUGAAUUUAAGAUUAGUGUGGUUGAUUCUGAGAAACGUGACAUGUUGGUGAUAAUAUGUAAAACCAGUGGCCAAAGAGUCUGAUUAACCUACAAGUUUUCAUUACUGGUAUAAAAAUCAUUUGAGUUUUCUCAUUUUAAAAACAUUUUUAAAUAUGGCUGUAUUGUUUUGUGAUGAAUCGAUUUUAUCUAGGCUACACUUCCUGUGAAACGGUACCGACAUGCAUACUCUGAGUCAUUUUCAGUAUUUUUUAGAAAACGUCACGUUAUGAAACUGUUUUGUGGACUUUAAAAUGUUUAAACAAUAAAACUUCAUAAAGAGCCCUUAA